rnacentral:misc_RNA from 1 species
ACAAACUUGGUCAUUUAGAGGAAGUAAAAGUCGUAACAAGGUCUCCGUAGGUGAACCUGCGGAGGGAUCAUUACCGAGUGCUCUCGCCCUUGCGGGUAGACCUCCCACCCCACUGUCAUCGCUACCGUCGUUGCUUCGGCGGGCCGCCAGGCCCUGCCCGGCCGCUGGCUCCUGCUGGCGCGCGCCCGCCGGAGGCCCGCAAACGCUGAAACGUCCGCGUCGUCUGAGCACACUACGCAGUAGUCAAAACUUUCAACAACGGAUCUCUUGGUUCUGGCAUCGAUGAAGAACGCAGC